CCCGCACAAGCGGUGGAGCAUGUGGUUUAAUUCGAUGCAACGCGAAGAACCUUACCUGGUCUUGACAUCCACAGAACUUUCCAGAGAUGGAUUGGUGCCUUCGGGAACUGUGAGACAGGUGCUGCAUGGCUGUCGUCAGCUCGUGUUGUGAAAUGUUGGGUUAAGUCCCGCAACGAGCGCAACCCUUAUCCUUUGUUGCCAGCGGUCCGGCCGGGAACUCAAAGGAGACUGCCAGUGAUAAACUGGAGGAAGGUGGGGAUGACGUCAAGUCAUCAUGGCCCUUACGACCAGGGCUACACACGUGCUACAAUGGCAUAUACAAAGAGAAGCGACCUCGCGAGAGCAAGCGGACCUCAUAAAGUAUGUCGUAGUCCGGAUUGGAGUCUGCAACU
rnacentral:rRNA from 1 species